GAUGAACGCUGGCGGCGUGCUUAACGCAUGCAAGUCGAGCGAGAAGUUUCGAAAAGAUUCUUCGGAUGAAAUUUAAAAUGGAAAGCGGCGGACGGGUGAGUAACGCGUAGGCAACCUGCCCCAUACAAAGGGAUAGCAUUUGGAAACGAAUAUUAAUACCUUAUGAAACUUAACUAGUGCAUGCUAGGUAGGUCAAAGAUUUAUCGGUAUGGGAUGGGCCUGCGUCUGAUUAGCUAGUUGGUGAGGUAACGGCUCACCAAGGCGACGAUCAGUAGCCGACCUGAGAGGGUGAACGGCCACAUUGGAACUGAGACACGGUCCAAACUCCUACGGGAGGCAGCAGUGGGGAAUAUUGCACAAUGGGGGAAACCCUGAUGCAGCAACGCCGCGUGAACGAUGAAGGCCUUUGGGUCGUAAAGUUCUGUUCUAGGUGAUGAAAACUGACAGUAACCGAGGAGAAAGCCCCGGCUAACUCCGUG
rnacentral:rRNA from 1 species